CUGCGUCGCCACCGGGGCUGUCCUCUUCAGCGCCAGCUGCAGGCUGCCGGGCGCUUAGGGUCAAAGCUGAAGGUAUUGGAAAGAACUGUCUGCCGUCUGCUGGAGCAUUCCUGUGAUAGAGCCGCACUCCACACUGGCCUGGGGAAAGGCUAGGCCAGGCGGGAGAGAGGGCUCGUGGUUUUCAUUUCCCCAACACCUGGAUGCAGUCAAACACCUGGCCAAAUCUGAGAAAAUCUGACAAGCCUUUGUGAUGGGAUUUGGAAGAAAUUCCCUGCAGAUCCUGGCACAGUUUAAAGCUGUCCGCUUUGAGUUAGGACUUGUUAAGGAGGGUUGUGUGAGCUGAAACCCGAGACAACCCUCUUUGCUUCUAUCUGGAGCCCACAUCUUGCCUGGAAAUGGGGCAUGACCAAGCGAAGGGGUCGCUUGCCGUUUGUAUUAAAAGGGGGAAAGCGGCCUGCGUGCCUGCCAGCCCCCACAUGCUUUCUUCAUUAAAGCCAAGCACAGA